rnacentral:rRNA from 1 species
UACGUAGGGUGCGAGCGUUAUUCGGAAUUACUGGGCGUAAAGCGUGCGCAGGCGGCGCCGCACGUCGAGAGUGAAAUCCCCGAGCUUAACUUGGGAAUUGCGCUCGAAACUACGGUGCUGGAGUGUGGCAGAGGGAGGUGGAAUUCCACGUGUAGCGGUGAAAUGCGUAGAGAUGUGGAGGAACACCGAUGGCGAAGGCAGCCUCCUGGGCCAACACUGACGCUCAUGCGCGAAAGCGUGGGGAGCAAACAGG